CAACGAUGCUCCGGCGGGGGGCUUCCUCUGUAAAGUGCUCGUCCGGUGGACAUGUUGCAAGGGCUUUACAUGGACCAUCACAACAGGACAACAAUCCAGUAAGACAGGCAGGUGCCUGGUCCCAGUGAGGGAGCCACCAUGUCGUUGGUGAUCGGCAGCUUGCUGGGCAAGCUGGAGAGGCAGUGGAGCAUGACUGGGUUGACGCCGUUCAGCUCUCAUCUUAUCAUAGACCUUCACUGGCUCCCCUCUGCCCACAUGACGAAGCCCUAGCUGCUCAGGUUGCCCUGGCAACUCCCCACCAGCUGAUUUCUAC